rnacentral:rRNA from 1 species
GACGAACGCUGGCGGCGUGCUUAACACAUGCAAGUCGAACGGAAAGGCCCUUCGGGGUACUCGAGUGGCGAACGGGUGAGUAACACGUGGGUGAUCUGCCCUGCACUUUGGGAUAAGCCUGGGAAACUGGGUCUAAUACCGAAUAGGACCACGCGCUUCAUGGUGUGUGGUGGAAAGCUUUUGCGGUGCGGGAUGGGCCCGCGGCCUAUCAGCUUGUUGGUGGGGUAAUGGCCUACCAAGGCGACGACGGGUAGCCGGCCUGAGAGGGUGACCGGCCACACUGGGACUGAGAUACGGCCCAGACUCCUACGGGAGGCAGCAGUGGGGAAUAUUGCACAAUGGGCGCAAGCCUGAUGCAGCGACGCCGCGUGAGGGAUGACGGCCUUCGGGUUGUAAACCUCUUUCAAUAGGGACGAAGCGCAAGUGACGGUACCUAUAGAAGAAGCACCGGCCAACUACGUG